UGAGGUAAUCAUAAUACCGGAACUGCCAGAACCCUGGUUUCUAGACCCGAAAGCAUCUAGUACCAAAGACAUCUUUGGAUUAUCAAUUGAAAACUCGCUGAAACAGAAACAGAGAACUGACAACUGGCGCUGCCGGAAAACCGGAACACUGUAGCUGCCGGAAAAAUUCAAAGUUGUCGGAAUUGAAAAAUAAAAAUAUGGAUAGGCUCGGAAUUCAAGGUUGAGCAAACUGU
rnacentral:lncRNA from 1 species